CGUCAUGCCAUUCAGUUGGUGUGGCGGGGAAUCAGGACUGUUACUUUGAAAAAAUUAGAGUGUUUAAAGCAGGCUCGCGCUUGAAUACAUUAGCAUGGAAUAAUGAAAUAGGACGUUUGACCCUAUUUUGUUGGUUUCUAGGAUCGACGUAAUGAUUAAUAGGGAUAGUUGGGGGCAUUAGUAUUCAAUUGUCAGAGGUGAAAUUCUUGGAUUUAUUGAAGACUAACUACUGCGAAAGCAUUUGCCAAGGAUGUUUUCAUUAAUCAAGAACGAAAGUUAGGGGAUCGAAGACGAUCAGAUACCGUCGUAGUCUUAACCAUAAACUAUGCCGACUAGGGAUCGGAUGAUGUUAAUUUUUUAAUGACUCAUUCGGCGCCUUACGGGAAACCAAAGUGUUUGGGUUCCGGGGGGAGUAUGGUCGCAAGGCUGAAACUUAAAGGAAUUGACGGAAGGGCACCACCAGGGGUGGAGCCUGCG
rnacentral:rRNA from 1 species